rnacentral:lncRNA from 1 species
GAGCAAGAAGAGUGUCAGCAAAUGUGAGCUGAGCUGUGGUGGCUGGUUUUGUGUGUCAACUGACACAAGCUAGAGUCAUCAGAGAGAACGAAGCCUCAGUUGAGGAAACGCUUCCAUGAGACCCAGAUACACAAGCAUGGAGCCAGAGCCAAGGGGGUCAUUCGCUUCCCACAGCCAAAGGGCAACAGAAUCUCUGAAUCCAGAAUCCACAAUGAGACAUGAGGUCAUCUUGGAUCCACC